rnacentral:lncRNA from 1 species
AUUGGCACGAGGGAUACCAACACCGGAAUAUGUGAUGAGAUGUGUGAAGAGCAUGGCAAUGGAUGCAAACUCCCUUUGUGUUUCUGGCUUUAAGCAGCUCUAUACUCUCAUGCUGUCCUACACUCAGCAGCAAUUUGUCACAAGUUUGGGAAAUUCUUCCUACUCUUUUGAACUCCAGCCCAAUUUCCUUUCUAUCACUGCCCUAGGUCUUACUCUUCCAGAAGAAAAAGGGAAAACCCAACCUGAAUGUCCCCUAAAAGUGAAGAAAUGUCCACACUUCUAUGUGCAGAUUGGUAUCUACAUACAGACCUCUUGGAGGAGUCAGACAAACAAGAUCUUGAAUCUUUACUGAUCU